UGGAGUUGAAAGCAUUUCUUGUCAGAUCCGGCCCAAUCUCAAAGUUGGAGGCAACAGCGUGAAAGGUGUGACCAGACGUCCUGUACAGUGUGGAGCUGUCCCCUGCUUGGAGGUGACUGUCAGUUCCACGCGGAGAGGAGAAGGGCUGCUCUGUGGAGAGGAAGCUGCAGAUGGGGGUUCUGGUGCUGGAUUGGGAAGAGAGCCUCCGAGCACGUCUGUCUCCGGGAACAUUUCUGGGGAACGGUGCGCUCGGCUCCAUGCCUCUUCUCAGGUCCCAACACGGCAGUGCAGCAGCCCCGGGAAUCCAUCACACAACUGAAAGCCAAGCAUGAGAGUUUGCCCUGGCACGAGUCAACCUCAAUCAGCCCAGAGUCCCCAGCUGCUUCACAUGGAAUCUGUAUGCACAGGAGAUUGGUUCCAGGACCCCAGCAAAUACCACAACCUGCAGAUGC
rnacentral:lncRNA from 1 species